rnacentral:rRNA from 1 species
AAACUGGAGAUGGCGACCGGCGCACGGGUGAGUAACACGUAUCCAACCUGCCGAUAACUCGGGGAUAGCCUUUCGAAAGAAAGAUUAAUACCCGAUGGCAUAAUAGAACCGCAUGGUUUGAUUAUUAAAGAAUUUCGGUUAUCGAUGGGGAUGCGUUCCAUUAGGCGGUUGGUGGGGUAACGGCCCACCAAACCUUCGAUGGAUAGGGGUUCUGAGAGGAAGGUCCCCCACAUUGGAACUGAGACACGGUCCAA